rnacentral:misc_RNA from 1 species
GAUGAAGAACGCAGCGAAAUGCGAUAAGUAAUGUGAAUUGCAGAAUUCAGUGAAUCAUCGAAUCUUUGAACGCGCCUUGCACCCUUUGGCAUUCCGAAGGGUAUGCUCGUUUGAGUGUCAUUGUACUCUCACACUCUCCGAUCCUAUGGAUUCGGGGAGCGGUGGACUUGGGUGUUGCUGCCUUUCCUUGUGGCUCACCUCAAAUGUGUCAGUGCACCUCUUGGUUGGACAUAGUACGGCGUGAUAAGUGUCUUCGCCGGCACCUCGCAAGAGGGUGGCCGAUCGGGAGCUCUGUGCUUUCAAACCGUCUUCGGACAAUUUCUGACAACUUGACCUCAAAUCGAGUAGGACUACCCGCUGAACUUAAGCAUAUCAAUAAGCGGAGGA